rnacentral:rRNA from 1 species
AACGAACGCUGGCGGCAUGCCUAACACAUGCAAGUCGAACGAAGCCUUCGGGCUUAGUGGCGCACGGGUGCGUAACGCGUGGGAAUCUGCCCUUCGGUUCGGAACAACAGUUAGAAAUGACUGCUAAUACCGGAUGAUGACGUAAGUCCAAAGAUUUAUCGCCGAAGGAUGAGCCCGCGUAGGAUUAGCUAGUUGGUAAGGUAAAAGCUUACCAAGGCGACGAUCCUUAGCUGGUCUGAGAGGAUGAUCAGCCACACUGGGACUGAGAUACGGCCCAGACUCCUACGGGAGGCAGCAGUGGGGAAUAUUGGACAAUGGGGGCAACCCUGAUCCAGCAAUGCCGCGUGAGUGAUGAAGGCCUUCGGGUUGUAAAGCUCUUUUGGCGGGGACGAUGAUGACGGUACCCGCGACGAA